AGUGAACGCUGGCGGUAGGCCUAACACAUGCAAGUCGAACGGCAGCACAGUAAGAGCUUGCUCUUACGGGUGGCGAGUGGCGGACGGGUGAGGAAUACAUCGGAAUCUACUUUUUCGUGGGUGAUAACGUAGGGAAACUUACGCUAAUACCGCAUACGACCUACGGGUGAAGGCAGGGGAUCUUCGGACCUUGCGCGAUUGAAUGAGCCGAUGUCGGAUUAGCUAGUUGGCGGGGUAAAGGCCCACCAAGGCGACGAUCCGUAGCUGGUCUGAGAGGAUGAUCAGCCACACUGGAACUGAGACACGGUCCAGACUCCUACGGGAGGCAGCAGUGGGGAAUAUUGGACAAUGGGCGCAAGCCUGAUCCAGCCAUACCGCGUGGGUGAAGAAGGCCUUCGGGUUGUAAAGCCCUUUUGUUGGGAAAGAAAAGCAGCAGGUUAAUACCCCGCUGUUCUGACGGUACCCAAAGAAUAAGCACCGGCUAACUUCGUG
rnacentral:rRNA from 1 species